CCCUUAGAUGUUCUUGGCCGCACGCGCGCUACACUGAUGCAUUCAACGAGUUUCUUCCUGGUCCGAGAGGAAUGGGUAACCUUUUGAAAGUGCAUCGUGAUAGGGAUAGACUAUUGCAAUUAUUGGUCUUCAACGAGGAAUUCCUAGUAGACGUAGUUCAUCAGACUGCAUCGAUUACGUCCCUGCCCUUUGUACACACCGCCCGUCGCUCCUACCGAUUGAAUGCUCAGGUGAGCCAUUCGGACCUUCAUCAUGCCGGUUUCCGGUUUUGAUGAGGGAAAGUCUUGCGAACCUUAUCAUUUAGAGGAAGGAGAAGUCGUAACA
rnacentral:rRNA from 1 species